rnacentral:rRNA from 1 species
UACAGAGGUCCCAAGCGUUACUGAGAAUCACUGGGCUUAAAGGGUGCGUAGGUGGCACGUUAAGUCAGUUGUGAAAUCCCCGGGCUCAACCCGGGAACUGCUUCUGAUACUGGCGUGCUUGAGGCCAGUAGGGGUCACUAGAACUGAUGGUGGAGCGGUGAAAUGCGUAGAUAUCGUCAGGAAUGCCGGUGGUGAAGACGGGUGACUGGGCUGGUUCUGACACUGAGGCACGAAAGCGUGGGGAGCGAACGGG